UGCCCCGUCGUCUAGUGGUAGGACAGCGGACUUUGGAUCCGUUAACCGAGGUUCGAAUCCUCGCGGGGCAGCCA
rnacentral:tRNA from 1 species